UCCGGUUUGGCACCGGCAGUCCUCCCAGAGUCCUCGACAUGACUCGCUAGCAACUGGGAGCGGGGGUUGCGCUCGUUGCGGGACUUAACCCAACAUCUCACGACACGAGCUGACGACAGCCAUGCACCACCUGUGAACCGGCCCCAAAGGGGAAACCACAUUUCUGCGGCGAUCCGGCCCAUGUCAAGCCCAGGUAAGGUUCUUCGCGUCGCAUCGAAUUAAGCCGCAUGCUCCGCCGCUUGUGCGGGGCCCCGUCAAUUCCUUUGAGUUUUAGCCUUGCGGCCGUACUCCCCAGGCGGGGUGCUUAAUGCGUUAGCUUCGGCACGGACGGGGUCGAUAUCCGCCCACACCUAGUACCCAACGUUUACGGCUAGGACUAC
rnacentral:misc_RNA from 1 species